AACGAACGCUGGCGGCAUGCCUAACACAUGCAAGUCGAACGAGACCUUCGGGUCUAGUGGCGCACGGGUGCGUAACGCGUGGGAACCUGCCCUUAGGUUCGGAAUAACUCCCCGAAAGGGGUGCUAAUACCGGAUAAUGUCUUCGGACCAAAGAUUUAUCGCCUUUGGAUGGGCCCGCGUUAGAUUAGCUAGUUGGUAGGGUAAAAGCCUACCAAGGCGACGAUCCAUAGCUGGUCUGAGAGGAUGAUCAGCCACACUGGGACUGAGACACGGCCCAGACUCCUACGGGAGGCAGCAGUGGGGAAUAUUGGACAAUGGGCGAAAGCCUGAUCCAGCAAUGCCGCGUGAGUGAUGAAGGCCUUAGGGUUGUAAAGCUCUUUUACCCGGGAUGAUAAUGACAGUACCGGGAGAAUAAGCGCCGGCUAACUCCGUG
rnacentral:rRNA from 1 species